AAUUCGAUGAUACGCGAGGAACCGUUACCUGGGCUCAAAUGUAUGUUGACGUAUCUGAAAGGGAUACUUCUCGGACAAUAUACAAGGUGCUGCAUGGUUGUCGUCAGCUCGUGCCGUGAGGUGUCGGGUUAAGUCCCAUAACGAGCGCAACCCCUAUCAUUAGUUGCCAUCAGGUCAAGCUGGGGACUCUAAUGAAACUGCCUACGCAAGUAGUGAGGAAGGUGGGGAUGACGUCAAGUCCUCAUGGCCCUUACGGGCUGGGCUACACACGUGCUACAAUGGUGGUGACAGUGGGCAGCGAGCACGCGAGUGUGAGCUAAUCUCCAAAAGCCAUCUCAGUUCGGAUUGCACUCUGCAACUCGAGUGCAUGAAGUUGGAAUCGCUAGUAAUCGCGGAUCAGCAUGCCGCGGUGAAUACGUUCCCGGGCCUU
rnacentral:rRNA from 1 species